rnacentral:rRNA from 1 species
UACGAAGGGGGCUAGCGUUGCUCGGAAUCACUGGGCGUAAAGCGCACGUAGGCGGGUCUUUAAGUCAGGGGUGAAAUCCUGGAGCUCAACUCCAGAACUGCCUUUGAUACUGAGGAUCUCGAGUCCGGGAGAGGUGAGUGGAACUCCGAGUGUAGAGGUGAAAUUCGUAGAUAUUCGGAAGAACACCAGUGGCGAAGGCGGCUCACUGGCCCGGCACUGACGCUGAUGUGCGAAAGCGUGGGGAGCAAACAGG